rnacentral:rRNA from 1 species
GAUGAACGCUGGCGGCGUGCCUAGUACAUGCAAGUCGAGCGAACAGACGAGGAGCUUGCUCCUCUGACGUUAGCGGCGGACGGGUGAGUAACACGUGGAUAACCUACCUAUAAGACUGGGAUAACUUCGGGAAACCGGAGCUAAUACCGGAUAAUAUAUUGAACCGCAUGGUUCAAUAGUGAAAGACGGUUUUGCUGUCACUUAUAGAUGGAUCCGCGCCGCAUUAGCUAGUUGGUAAGGUAACGGCUUACCAAGGCAACGAUGCGUAGCCGACCUGAGAGGGUGAUCGGCCACACUGGAACUGAGACACGGUCCAGACUCCUACGGGAGGCAGCAGUAGGGAAUCUUCCGCAAUGGGCGAAAGCCUGACGGAGCAACGCCGCGUGAGUGAUGAAGGUCCUCGGAUCGUAAAACUCUGUUAUUAGGGAAGAACAAAUGUGUAAGUAACUAUGCACGUCUUGACGGUACCUAAUCAGAAAGCCACGGCUAACUACGUG